ensembl:lncRNA INKA2-AS1 INKA2 antisense RNA 1
GGCGAGGACACACCUGGUCCCGGCCAGCGCGGCGGAGGGCAUCGUGACUCCAGGCUGUACCGCGGCCCCCAACGAAGCACGUGACCCUCGUGUGGUCAUAAAGGGAGAGCACAGUUUUACGGGGAGGGACUGGGUAGCGGUCUCAGUAACAGGCAGAGUGCCAUAGUGUCAGUCCCUUUUCCCAAACUCCGAUCAGGAAGGGAAACACCCCCACCCACUCCGCUCCCAUCCCCAGAAGUCCCUCAGAAGCUCUUUUCUCCCCGAAGAGGACCCUGGGAAGGUGGCUCCCGCCUCACUCCUAGAGUGAAAUCCUCGCAGCCCUGCCCUCGCGGGCGGAGCAGAGACGCCGCCGCUUGGCCGGUUCACGCCUGUCACACAAAGCCGCCGAGGGUCGGCUGCGCCCCUGGCAAGGCUGUAGGGCUGGGGAUACUGAGUAUGACAGGCGAGGUCCCUGCUCUCAAGAACUUACAUGGGAGAGAAGGGGAGACAAGAUAAACAGAUGGAGCAACUCAACCCAAAAAGGUUGGUCUGUAUGGUGACGGAAUGUGGUCUCCCAGUUUUCAGCACAGCACUCAUUCAGCUAUUCUGCUCUUCAGAAAGCAGGAGGGAUGUGCCCUAAGGUGGACUAUUGAAAUGAUGAAAGCCACUGAGGAAGAGCCAGAGAAUUCUCGUAGCUGUGAUUAGACAUCAACCUUGGGCAUGCUAAACAUUUCAGCCUGGACACCCUGAGAAGAGCCAGUGCCACUGGUGACAGCUGCUUCUGUGCGGGCUUUUGCUUGGCCAGAGAGGCAGGACCUUCUCCCUGGCAUUUUGAGGAGUGGUGCCGGGUGGGCAGUGACUGCACUAGCAACAGUCUAUACCAAGAGAAGACCUCAAAUUCCCAGAGAAGAAAGGCAGCGAGGCCAAGAAAUGCUGCCGCCGCUUAACAAGUGAAGAUGCAUACUGGAGAAUAGGAACUGAACACGCGAAGGAGUUUCGGCUUUACUGCCUUCUCUCCUAGCAUUGAACAGAUCUUCUCUGCUGUUGAUUAUUCUCCAUGAAUCAUCAUCCAUAGAAAGUGACUGAGGCAAUAGAGAGUGAAUAAUGAAUCUCUCAAAUAGUCUUUUGUGUUUCUGCCUGGAGGGUUUUGGAAAUAACUUGCAUCUUAAUCUUUCUGACUUAGAAUCAUAGAAUUUGGGAGCUGAAAAGGACCUUCAUCAGGGCAUGUGGCCUCACAGAAAGACUGGAAGAAAAGAUUUGUGGGUAUGAGCCUCUGGUUCAUCACUAAAAAUAGGCCUAGUCUAACAUAUAUUGGAGGCUUUCCUUGUGUCAGGUACUCAUUUAUUCUUCCAAAACCUUGGGAGGUAGGUGCUGCUAUUCCUCCAUUCUGCAGAGGAGGAAGAGAUGAGGAGACAGUAGAUCACCAGAGGGCAGUGUGAGGGGUGUGCUGGAACCAUCAUGUGGAACUGGCUCUGGUUCCAGAAUCCACAUCCUCUCGGUCAUUCCACUCCCACAUCAAGUGGCUUUGGACAAGUAAUUUAACUUCUUUGGAUCUCAGUUUUCUCCUCCGUGAUCUCUAAAGUUUAAAAAUUACUAACAGUCUGCAUCUGCCACCCAAGCAUGUGAUUUUACAAGUCAGAAAAGUGUAGCGCAGAAAUGUUAAGUGACCUGCCCUAGGUCACCCAGGUUGCUAAGGGCAGAAUCAGCACAGAAACCCAGGCCCAGUGACCACUGCCCCCAGGCAAGACCUCCUUCCCUUCCACUGCACUUUGGCAGGUGUUCUAGGGGAAUCCAACUCCUUGCCUUAGAGGAGACCUGUUCAAUGAUAUCAGAUAGACUGGAGAUGUUACGUUUUGGUGUGGCCAAUCACAACACCAGGAUGAGCUUAGGAGGCUGGUGAUAUUUGUCUAUCUAAGCACCCCCAACCUAUCUAUCUGUCUGCUGUUUGUCUAUCUUUCUCAGGUUAUGCAUAGUGACCAAACCCCGCCUGGUAACUGUAGGGAAAGAGCAUGACUGGUGUGUUACAGCUACACACGCCCCCUGGUGGUAUUUCCAGUUGUUUGUCCUCUUCAUGCAAAUGUUGCCACCUUGUGCCAGCUCUCUCACCUAGCUUCCUUCAUGACGACAGUGGUUGCAAUUCUGCUCCUCUCUCUGCCUUCCCCUGUCCUUGGCUCCCCAUGUCCAGAAUCUGAUCAUUUACUGGUGUGCACCCUGGGAUGUGAUGUGUGCUUUGGGAGGAGACAGGACCCAACAGUAUCUCAGCUGUGCUCUGGUAAUCAGUGUGCACCACAUUACAAGCAUCCUCAUCCCAGUAUCCUCCCUAUUGAAAAAGAAAUGGGAAAGGGGUGGAUGUGUCAAUAAACACAACAUUGAAGGCAUCUGAAAUAGAACAAGGACAUCCUGGGUGAGGCAUU